UCAACAAAGUUUAGAGUUGAGAGUGAGAAAGAGCAAGAGGAGCUACGGUGGUUCCAAGGAUCAGAAAUCUCAGUCCCAACUACAUCAGGGAAUUUUUCCCGAGGGCAAAACGAGGCCAACACGAGUAAUUAAAUUGAGGAAUAAGCAUAUCAGGUUGAACGUGUACGAGGAGGCGAAGGUGUUGGGAAAUGACCAUUAAUAAGUAGUUAGGUAGCCCAAAGUAGUAUGUCUUCAUACGUACUAUUUUGUCUUUGACUCUUCCGCUGCAACAAGAUUAUGUACUAGGAAUUAUGAACCAUGUCAUUAUACUCUGCUUUUAUUUUGACUAUGUACCAUUUUCACUUUCAGAAUUAAUGUUUUGAGUUUGACUUAUUGCUUA